AAAAAAAAAGAAGAAAAAAAAGCACAGCACAAAAGCACACAGUCUGAUUUAUCAACGAAGAGGUUCAAGGGGAGGGCCUCGCCUAUCGAGCUUGACAGGGAAAUGAGUAAAACAUGCAGUCACACCACGCUAUCAAGGCAGUAGCCCAACUGGAUUGUCCCAGGUGACUACAAUAAAAAGGAAGCUGGUAUAAAAGGAGUGAUUAGGGACAGGCUUGCUUUUUAGAACGGGGGUAAAAUGGGUUAGUGCUUGAGAGCAGAAGUAAUGGAAAAUUUGAGGGAAGCAAUUCUUAAACAGAGAAGAGGUCUGAGAUUCCAGGUGGACAGUUGAGGAGCUGUUCUGCUAAGCUAUGAGAGAUUCCUACAAAAAAGCAAGGAAGAAUAUCUUUAAUGUUCUUUGAGAAAGAGAUGCUGAAGAAACAUAUCUCCAGAGCUGAUGUCCGUUGUAAAUAAGAGGCACAGCACCAAGAACUAGCGUGUGUUAUCUGAUGUGGGAGUGUUUUCUAGAAGGGUGGGAGGGGAGAAGAAAAACCAGGAAUAAGGGAAUUAUUUAUUGCUUUAUGGGAAGAGGAGUCUUCCAAACUUUCAGAUGUACCCAUAGAAAGGGUCCCUUCUACCCACCUCUUGAGAAAGCAGCACAUUAUGGCCAUCCGGCAUCUCACCACCAUGACGCUGGACCUUCCAGAGCUGAGCCAUCCCAAAGCUCAAAUCUCCAUGGGACUCUUUGGCUGAUACAGUGAACAUUCAGGGGCUGCUGGAUGAUCCUUCCUUAACAGGUCCUCAAGGUGUUUGUCCUGUUUCAUUGAGCAGAUAGGGCCAAGCACAAAGAUUUGAUUCUCCCCUGUGAGAGCACCUGAGUGACUGCACCUUGGGGACCCAGCUUGCAGCCAGCAACACCACAGCUGCCUUCUGGGGAAGGAGCAGCAUGCCCCAGGGCUUGCAGGCACAGACAAAACACACAGUGGCACCUAGGGCAAUGAAUGCAAGUCACAAGAAACAUUUUUCUCCUCAAGGAAAUAAUGCCACUAGAAAAUGAGCAAAGACUCCUUCAGGAUACGUGCAGCAGCUCCCAGUAAGUGCUAUAGCAUCUCUUGCCAGUUAUUUGUUCUCCCAGAGAGUAGUUCUUUACAAGGUACCAGGCAGUUCACACUUCUUUUAAGCUGGCUAUUUGUUGACAGAUGUGAAUGACUGGUUUCUGUUUUACUCAGGUCUGUCAAGACCUCUUUCAAUAAUCACAAGAAGUAUCUCAAUAUUUGUAGACAGAAUGUUUGGUGGGUUUUUUUGUUAUUUUGGGGAGAGGCAUGUUGGAAGCAAAACUGCUUCUUUAUAUGAAAAAUAUGUAUCUAGUCCAUUAACCUUUUCAAGUGUUACGUUUUUGAGCUGAGAUUUUCAUUCACACUUAUUUUAGUCUCUUUGCUAACAGUGGUUUGAAGUGAUCAGUCUCUGUCAUGUAUCUGGACAGGCUGACUCAGGGGAGAACAAGCAAUUUAAGGAAGGAGGAAAGGAAGACCAUCCACUCUGUCUCUGCACCUGAAGAUCCAGAACAGACUCUGCAAUUAUUUGCUGAUGCAAGUUUUUGAUGCCGUGGCACUUUUUUCAGAUGUGUUGAUACAUUCUGUAGCUAAGUCCCAUUUCUUACAUUUAGAAGUAAUAUCCUUGCACUAUUGUCCUCUCAAGGUCUACUUUCACUUUUAGCUGGUAUUGACCACUGUCUGAAACAGGGUAUGAGACACAAAGGAUUAACGUUUCAAGCCAAGGAAGUGUUUGAUGCAUCGAGGCAGGGAAAAUAAAUCAAGAACAACUAAUGAAUACACCUGAGCAACAUAUUUUUUCCACACAGCUUUUAUUUAUCCAGAAAUAUUUGCAUAUAUCAAAAACUUAAAUCUCACUUUUCAAAUCUCACCUUUCAACCCUGCCUAUUAGCUAAUAGUUUCCUGCAGCUGUCGGUGCCUGUGGGGAGCUGGUGCAUCCUGCUCUCACUGCAUCCAUUCCAUGCUUGCUUUUGAUAGGAAAUCACCUGAUGCAUCAGAGCUGCUGCCUUGGCUCAUCUAUUCGUCUCUGGUAGUGUCGGAAUCAUUUGGGUUCCCCCAUCCAUGUUUCCAAUUUAUCUUAGUUUCCAGAGCAACCAAGUCUCAUUGUUACUGCUUGUUCUCAGCUGAUCUGGUCAUGUCUUUGCUCUCUGUGUAUUCUAGCUUCUCUGCAGUAAUAAAGACUGUCACAGGUUUGGAGGAGGUGAAACAAAACGUCCAAAUGAAUGAGUUCUUUUUCUUUUUUAAUAGACAUUUGUGGCUUUUCCCCCUUCCAUGUUUGCCUUGUUUGGCAGUGCAUUGAAGGACUGAUGCUGUAUUUUUUCCAUGGGAUUUCCCCUUUAAUAGGGUCCCUCUGAUCUUAUUACACUCUCUGGUAGAAAUACCUUUUUUACUCGUAUUUGGGGAUCAUAUCAACGAACAGAUAUUGCAAGUGAAAGAGGCUUUGUGCAUAUUUUAAUUUUCUGACACCAGUGUUUCUGUUGCUGCUGCUUUCAUUUCUCUAAAAGGUAACUUUCUGCCUAUCCAGUCCUUCCAUGCAUCUCUGUGGGAUGUCCAUCACUCCAGGUGACUGCUCCCCAGCUCCAUGUACACACCUGUCCCUGCCUUCCUUUGAUCUUCUCUGAGGUCUUCAUGCUUUCUGCAGUGCAGUCAAAGCCACCAGAGACCCCAUGUUACCUGUACAACUCGGGGAGGUGGGGGAUCCCAGGAGUGAUGUGUGUUUCCAGGCCACAUGGUAAGCAAGGCAUCCAUCAUUAGGGAUUCACUAAGCUUCAGGGAAACAUGACAAGCUCAGCUUGCUCAGGGGAGAUCCAGCACAAUUUUAUGUUUAUCUUCUUAGCACUUAUACCAGUUUUCCAAAAGCUCUGACCAUGGACUCUAAACUCUUUUUAACACUUAACAGGUUCAGUUACCAGUGUCCACACAGAUCCAUUGUAGAAUGGGGGAGAGAAAUGGCCAAAGCUGGUAAAACUUCUGUAGUUACAAAAAAACCUGUAAAGCCGGAGUGCUACAGAACAAUUUUUCUUCAGCCUUAGAGUAAAGCUGCAUUACAAGUCAGUAACAAAUGUUCACUUUCUCUGGUUUUACCCUAAAUUCUUUUUCAGAACAACUGAAGUUCAGCAUUGUUUCAGGUGAGUGUGAUGCUCUCCCAUUUGCUCUCUUACCCCUGUCCUUUAAAAAAAGAAAAAUCAAAUCUGCACUUUUAAAAAUCAAAUGACAAGUGUAUGGACACUGGGGACAGUAUAUGUCUGCUGUGCCACUGAACCCCUUUCAGCUCCCAAUGAGGCAGGCAAUCCUACCUCACAUCUGUAAGGCUAUUUUUCCACACAUUUGCUCUAUUCUAGACAGAUAACUCUGUAUAUGUUCUUUCUUUCCAGUGAUCAUUUCCAUACACUACCCACCUCAUUUAUCAGUAGGGAAAGAUUAAGGCAGGGUAAUCGGGUGAUUUGCAGAGGAACACAGUGAUGAACUUGGAAAGCAGCAAAGCACUAUCACCACAGGCUUGGGAGUGCCUCUGCACCAACAACCCAUAUACUGGGCAGAAGAUGCGCUGUUCAAUGACCUUGGCACAUCAGCUAACCGCUCCCCAUUUCCUUUUUGCUUCCUUCCCCUGUUCCUGGCUCUGAUGUUCCUGAAUUCUCUGCCUAGGUCACCAACAGCUCACUGCAGCUCCAGUCCCCAUUGCCCUAGGCAUUCUCUGUGCCUCCCUGUCAGCGAAAGCCAUCUCUGCUGGCCAAGGUUUAGCUCAUUUUGGGUUAGCACAAAGCCAUUGCACAGCCUCAGAGAGGACAGGAGCAUAAGGGGGAAGAGCAGGCUUGUUGUAAGGUGAGCAGCGUGUAAGUUCUGCUUUGCUUUAAGAAGGAAGUCAUAAAACCCUUCUGAAGUAACUGCAGGUGCCCCUGCCUGUGCUGCUGAAGGGUACCACGGGAUAUUUGUAGCAAGGGGACAAAUUCACGCUAAAGGAUAACACGUUAGCAAGGUGAGGCUGUACAAAGCACUGAUGCAAGGUGCAAAAGGGACAAAGUUUGCAGGGACAGGCAAUGUUAAUAGAGCAGCCCAAACCACCUGAGGAGAAGGAUGAAAUGUGUUUAAAGUUCAAGGUGAGUCAUUUAUUAUCAACUUGAUGAGGACUGGGAAGCUGAGUGGAAGAGAAACAAGGAGCCUGAAUCUCCUAAAGACCAGUUUUGUUUUGUUUUGUUUUGUUUUCUGGAAAU